GAAUUUAAAGGUGGAUAUAGUCUUGAGCUUUAAGUAGGGACUGGGAAAAGUUUUGGAGUGUUGUGACUUGCUUUGUUGCCUUGGGACCUUCUCAGAACAGAUGUCUGGAAGCAGCAGGAAAUCGUUUGAAUGACAAACGAGUAGGCGGGACAUUUGAUGAUGGAAUUCAUUUUGUUGUGUUUUCUUUAGUAGUUAAAAAGGAGCCUGUUUUAUUUGCUUAUUCUGUUUUUUCAUGGCAGUUAUGGAUUGGGAUAGGCAUCUAUUAUGCUGAUUGAAGUCAUUUUAGGGUUAUGGAUGUAACAAGGUCUUUGGAGUUGGUGCAAUUCAAAGUAGGAAACAAGUAACCAGUCAGUUGAGGAACUCCAUAAUUCCUGUGCUUGAGAAGACAAUGAAUGACCCAGAAAGAGUAAUGUUGUUGAGGAGAAUAAAAUUUUGUUAGAAAUGUCAUAGGAAUAGAAUUGAAAAAAUUGCAAAUCAGUGAUAUAGUGAAAAAACAAUUGCACUAUACACAUGAAGAAAUUGUACCAUGCAUGCAGAAAAUUUACAUCACCAUGGAAAUGCAAAUAUUUUUUCGA